UUUGGGGUUAGUUAGAAUAUGUUAGAAUAAAAUAAAUAUGAUUAUUUAAAAGUGCUAGAGAUGCAUGAAAAGUGUUUAGAAGUGUGGAGAAAGACAUGUUGAAGUUGGGACCAAAAUAGGCUAAGAAUUCGGAAACAUUGUGUUGAAGCACCAAAUGACUUAUCUAGUAUUAUUUAGGGUUAGAAUAUGAUAGAACACAAUAAAUUUGAUUGAUUAGAAAUGUUAGAGAUGCAUGAAGAGUUUUU
rnacentral:lncRNA from 1 species